rnacentral:rRNA from 1 species
CGUACUGGCAUCGUCGGUUUCUCCCUUCUGACGAACCAUGAUGUCAUUUAUUUGGUGUCGUGGGGAAUCGGGACUGUUACUUUGAAAAAAUUAGAGUGUUUAAAGCAGGCUCACGCUUGAAUACAUUAGCAUGGAAUAAUGAAAUAGGACGUUUGAUUCUAUUUUGUUGGUUUCUAGGAUCGACGUAAUGAUUAAUAGGGAUAGUUGGGGGCAUUAGUAUUCAAUUGUCAGAGGUGAAAUUCUUGGAUUUAUUGAAGACUAACUACUGCGAAAGCAUUUGCCAAGGAUGUUUUCAUUAAUCAAGAACGAAAGUUAGGGGAUCGAAGACGAUCAGAUACCGUCGUAGUCUUAACCAUAAACUAUGCCGACUAGGGAUCGGAUGAUGUUAAUUUUUUAAUGACUCAUUCGGCGCCUUACG